GACAGAGGGUGCAAACGUUGUUCGGAAUUACUGGGCGUAAAGCGCGUGUAGGCUGCUCUGCAAGUCGGAUGUGAAAGCCCUGGGCUCAACCUAGGAAGUGCACUCGAAACUGCAAAGCUGGAGUCCUGGAGAGGAAGGCGGAAUUCUCGGUGUAGAGGUGAAAUUCGUAGAUAUCGAGAGGAACACCGGUGGCGAAGGCGGCCUUCUGGACAGUGACUGACGCUGAGACGCGAAAGCGUGGGGAGCAAACAGGG
rnacentral:rRNA from 1 species